CACUGCUUCUUAAAUAUUGGGUCCCAAUACUAAAUGAGGUCCCCUUAGCCCUAUAUUGAGGUCUGAAAUUUGGCAACAUUAAAGGCUUUCUGAACAUCACCAUUUAUACAAAUCUCUUAGUAACAUCAUGCAGUGUUUACUGUAAACUCUGCAGUGAAUGCUUCAGCUGUACUCCACAAAAAAGGAAAAUCAACCUAUUUAGCAAGCCAUGUGUCAGGACCCUGGCUGCAGAGCACCAAUAACCUUACACAGAGGCCAGUCUCUAUCUAAUAUCUUUAUUAAAGAAAUAUAUAAAAUCAAUAAAAACAAGUGAAGAAUAUAGUUCAUAAGCAGACCUUUCAGAUAAGGUCAAAUAUAGUCCAGAAAUGUAUUGUCCAAUAUAAGAUAUUAGAGUUCAAAGUUUUAAUCCACUUGACCGAAACACACACUUUGCCAAGCAAUAGUGUGGGGAAAUAACAGAGUCUUUAAAGUCCAAUGAAGCUUGACAACAAGGCUGGAAAUAAACUUGAUUCUUGACUAGAUCCGUGACUGGAGGCAAGACGAACAUGAAGCAUGAAACAGAGUCCGUGGUAAAACCGUGAGACAAGGCAAGGCUUGAAGCUUGAUCCGGGAAGCAAGGAACUGGGAUUACGAAGUCCACACACGAUCUCUCUCCUCAAGCUGACCAAUUGACUCCGCAAAGUAUCCCUCGCGCCAAACACCUAUAUUGGGUCUCGUUUUCCCGCCAACAGAACUCUUUCCCUAGAGAACGAGAAGCAAAACCCAACUCUGUCCAGAUGCAUGACUCCUUAGAAUUUCCCAAUGGAAGCAGACCUAAUCAUCCAUUUGUUUGGCAGCGAUUCUCAGGCUUCUGUGAUUAGCCUCCCUGGCUCCCCUAUCUUUAGAAUAAUUUUCCCUGCAGGUGAAGAGGCUCCGGCUCUUGCUGAACCGGAGAAAAUCCCAUGUUUUCCUCUUCGUCUGCCACAAUAGUACUAGGAACAGGACUACAAGGCCCAUGAGUCAUCACACCAUGCAAAUAUGGAUUUAUUUUCAGAAAAAGUCUGAUUUAUAUACUUAUUGUAUAUACCUAUAUACCUGGGGUCACAUAAAAAUUUCUUAUGCAGAAAGAGGUCACAAAUGGGAAAGGUUUAAGAAGCCUGCUUAGGGACUUCAUCGCACAGGAUAAGUAAAAUGAAGUAAAUCGUUG
rnacentral:lncRNA from 1 species